rnacentral:tRNA from 1 species
GGAGCGGUGGCCGAGUGGCUGAAGGCAUCGGUUUGCUAAACCGACAUAGGGGUCUAAAGCUUCUAUCGGGGGUUCGAAUCCCCCCCGCUCCG